UUCUAUCUCAUAAAAUAAGAGGUAAUCUUGUUCAAAACAUUUUGUUGAAACUCUAAGAUGAGUGCAAAAUCCAAACAUAAAAACAUUCUCACAAUCUCCGCUAAGAACAUUUCUUUCUAACAUAUGAAGAUAUCAAAAUAUUGAAGAAAGGAAUGUAAGGAAGCACUACAUAGGUAACUAAAAACUUCAAAAAUGAACGAUUCCGUCGCCACACACUUCUUCUUUAAAUUCUUGCUCAAAAGCUCAUUCUUCAUCAUCCUCAUCACCAUCACCGCCAGCAGCCUUCUUGGCAGCAGACUUUUGGUUCUUUCGCUUCACUCUUCCUGGACGCCCACCACCAAAAGGACUGGUUAGAGAGAAGUCAAUGUGCUUCUGAGAGUCGACUCUCACCAUGAAUGAAGCAACAUUCACGACUUGCCUUCCAACCCUGAUGUGCCUUUGCCUG
rnacentral:misc_RNA from 1 species